AGAAAGGUCUUCCUUUUCAGUUGGUUCACCCCCCAAUGGCUGCUGUGGCUGGUGCACCGCGCCCAUCUGAAGCCAGGAGCCAGGUGUUUCCUCCUGGUCUCCCAUGUGGGUGCAGGGCCUAAGGACCUGGGCCAUCCUCCACUGCACUCCCGGGCCACAGCAUAGAGCUGGCCUGGAAGAGGAGCAACCGGGACAGAAUCCGGCGCCCUGACCGGGACUAGAACCCGGGUUGCCGGCGCCAUAGGCAGAGGAUUAGCCUAUUGAGCUGCGGCGCCGGCCCUACUUUUUUUUUUUUUAAAGAUUUGUUUGUUUCUUUGAAAGAGGGAGAGAGUGAAUGAGAUUGAGAUCUUCCAUCCACAUAGUCUGACAGCCAUGGCUCGGCCAGGUGGAAGUCAGGAGCUUGGAACUCCAUCUGGGUCUUGUACAUGGGUGGCAGGAACCCAAGUACUUGGGCUGCCUUCCCAUUUUCCCAGGCAUAUUAGCAGGGAGCUGGAUGGGAAGUGGAGCAGCUGGGACUUGAACCACUGCUCGUACAGGAUGCUAGCACUGUGGGUGGUGGUGUAACCUGCACCACGUGUGUACUUGUGACAGGAGGCCCACCGUGCCAGGCUGUCUCUGCUUUUGUGACAUUAGCAACCUUGCUGUGCACUUCUUGGAUCUUGUGAUUUACUGAGGGUUACAAAGGUGAUAUUUUAAUUCUUAUUUAUUAGCAAGGAUAUUUCCAUAAAGAGAAACCACCUUGUUUGCAUUACCUGUGAGUAUAGUUCAUAAAGGUAGGGUAAAUUGUUAUUUACCUACUUUGAAAAUAGAGUUGCUUCCCUGGCACCCUCUGAAGAUGACUGAUGGUUUCCUAAAGCAUUAUGAACUUAAUGGCAACAAACUAUCAUCAGGCUGUCCAUCUGCUAGGGUGCGAUGUGUCAGCCCUCUGCGCCGUCAUCACAGACUUCACACGCGUGCCCACUGUCAGAGGGUGAGGAACUGUUGGCCCUCUGAGCUUUCCCGAUGACUGCAGCAGGGUCUUAGGCUGCCACGUGCCCCGUGGCAUCCUUCCUUGCCCAGGCUGUGGUGCCGUAUUGUCUUGGAGGUGCUGGUUUGUUCCCAUCCAGUUGUAUAUUCGGGGUUUUGUUGUGGGUCUUUGCCAUGUCCCUGUGUUGACACGUGCGCUUCUGGCACGUGCUAUUUCACUGCCUCCUCCCUUCCCUUUCCGAGUUCUGUGUUCAUAAAUAGGACCUUUGCUGGAUUGGACGCAGUGGGGCAGGCACCUGUGUCUAAGCCUGUCAUUUGCCCAAGAUUGGUCAGUAGUGGAUUCCUCAUAGCUCUACGCAUUGUUCGGUUCAAGAGAAGUCAAAGAGAGGGAAGCUGGAUAUUGGGUGACUUCAGUCUAUUGAGUAUGGUGCCAAUUAAGUCAACCGUGCAAUGCAGUGAGAUGCGUGUGGGAGAUGGAGAGGAAGCCCAGCCCACUUCAGCCUUGGUGCUAUAUUCUUGCAACUACGAUUCACAUUGACCUCACAACUCACUGCAAAUGACUGACCAGGUAACAAAACCCAAACAAAGACAGUUUUCAUAGGACAAUACCAUUGGUGUUCACUCCAGAAGGUGGCGGGGGUGGGCUUAUUAGACUAAUUAGAAAUACUAGUCAUGCCUUGAACACUGAGCACAAAUAAAUAGCUUUUAAUUGUAGGGUCAAAGACAGUUUAGCCUUUGCUUCUUCCCUUAAAUCCCAGCUUGCAGCUGGGGGACCCUUCUGGCAAGACCUGCUGGGAGGCCAGGGGCGCAUCCUCACCCUUCUAAGAUGUGAGGACCAGGGACUCAGGAGACAUUCCGCUGCUCCAGCUUGCUCUAGAAAUCCCUGUCUGUCCAUAUGGACUGUGCACUUCAGUACAGCACAGCCUAGGAGUGGAGGCAGAAAAUGGUCUUCAGUGUUGGCUUCCAAGGGUCUCCUAUCAUUUAGGCAAGAAAGCAGAAACCACAGAACUGACAGAACUGACCCGAGACGUAGAAAGCAAACCAGCAUGCACCUUGCAUUGACAUCCUAUAGUAUCCUACCUGUAACUGUAGUGAAAAGUAGAUGCUAAAUCAGGUCUUCCAGCUAACUCUUGUGCCACGUUCUCCUUGGCGUAAUUACCUGUUGGAAAACGAGAAGCCUGGGCCCACACAGGCCAGGUGCUUCAUUCUCAUCUGCUCUAACAAAUGGGCACUUAGAAAAAUGAUGGCCAGUGAUGACAGUUGAAGAACCUCCAUGACCCGGGGCCCCUCACAGCCACGGCCAAGCUGAAGGUUAAAUCUCCAGCGUAAAGCUGCAGUGUUGUCUGGUGUGCAGGACUCGGCGGCCUGGUCGGCGCCACCCAAGGACUUGAGUCGUCAAAGCUGAGUAGUUCUGCUCCUGCAUUCUGUUGGAGUCUUGCCCUGUUUCUCCAUUUUCCUCCUCGUUGCUGCAUCUUGGUAAACAAAGCUGACGAGGGUUUGGAAUUUAAAGAAAGUACAGCGCUAGAGGGGAGAGCCAGCUUCAUGACAACACAGGACGUGACGGUGGGACCAGACUGCCGUUCCGGGGGAGCUGUGCGUCACGGCAGGCCUCUGCAGGAGAACACUGUGGCGAAAGGAAGACUUUGCAGGACAGGAAAACAAAAACAGCGAAAACUUCAGUCACUGCAAGAGUUGUCAUUAUGCCUGGUCCAGGUUCAGUACUUGGAAACGUGACAUUUCUGAGGCGUGUUGAGAAAGAGAAGAAACCAACCAAAGAGAAAAGGUCCGCCCCAGCGAGAUCACUGUAGGCUCCUGUGAGUGGUAAGUAAUGCCUAUGUUUAAAAAUCCAGACACUAAAGAGAGACUCACGUUCUAAAAUUGAGUUUAAAUUAGUAGUUGGAGUGCAUGAAAUGGAAACCCAGCGAUUUUUUUUUGUCUGCUCUUAAGUUGACCAAUCUUGAAUUCAAGACAAGUUCAAAAACUAGACGCAAGGUGCUUUCUAAGCAGCAAAGCUCAUGGCUAUUUAGCAUCGAUUCUGUAAAACAGACCAAUGCAUUACACUGUCAGAGAUGGAAAAUGAUCAGCACUUCACGGUGGUCACUAACCCAUUGAGUUCAACUCUGCAUCGUACAUCAUACAUUACACUCGCUACAAAAUAGUACUUUCUGCAUUUUGCUUUUUCAGUUUGGGAUAAUUCCUGAGCUCAGCCUAACAAUUAGGUCAUAAUUCAUUCUUCUGUAAGUCUCAUUUUUUUUUCAGGGUAACAUAUACAGACCUGUGUUUCCUCAUCCCACUAAAUGUGCCAAAAAGCACUGUGUCAUUUCCUUACAAAAUUACAUAAAACUCUCAACCUUUUAGUUGUGACAUUGUGUUACCCUGAGACGUGAGGUCCUGAUCACUAGGAUUGGGUUUUUUGGCAGAGGUGGCAAGAGAGAUGUGAAGGUCUAGGUAGGUGUUUGUCACUUCUUGUGUCCCCAUCGGCAAGCAUAAAGGAUGGGGAGCAGGCACUGGAACAAAAGGAACCCUCCCGGCCGAGGUGGUGGAAGGGCUCUGGAGUUAACUUCAUUGCUGCUGCACACACAGUAGGUCAGACUUCACGUGUAAGUACAGAGAUUUUUAAAGUCCUCGCCUAUGUGCCACCGUUUGUUGUUGCAAGAAGGGAACUAAGAAAAGGAUGUUCUGGUUGAGUUCACGAGGAAUUCCUAUGCUUCCUGAUGACUAACUGCACAGGUCCUUCCGGGACAGACUUCAUAAUAUUCCAGGCAUCGAAGUGCAUCAGCCCGACCAGGGGUUUCCCAUUAAUAGCAAGAAUUUCAUCUCCAGCUUCUAUUGUCCCAGCUUGUUCAGCUGCACCACCUGUGAGAAUCAACACAGACAAUGGCUUGGGAUUUCUCUGACCACUGUGAAGGUACCAAGUGGCCUCAGACACGAGAACAGUCUCUGAAUGGUAGGCCUGUGUUCUCUGGGUGGGGCCAUAUCCCCAAGGAAGAAACAGAAAGCAUUGUAGCUCCAAAAGUAAAUUGGACUGCAUAAAAAAAUCAACUCUAACCUGCUCCCCUCAAACCCAAGAUAAAAAGGAACAAUUGACAAGGGGAAGAUUCUUCCAAUGUAUUUAAAUCAUCACUAAGAACAAAAUAAAGAGGAAGCUGGCAAAGGAGAGCAACAGCUAAAAUCCAGAUAGCCAAGUCCAAGUUGACCCAGCUAGCGCAGUUUCUAAAUAAUACUCACAUUCUGAGAAUCUGCGAUUACCUGCCUAUCUGUGACUGUAGAGAUUAAUUAUUUCUACAUUAUAGCUUGGUGUAGGUAAUAGCAAAUUUAUGAGCUUGAGAAGAAAAUACAAGUUUAAGCCCUGCUCCUUUUACACACAUAAACAUGGAAGGAGACUGAAGGUGGAGGUUCCUUAUGGAGGAAACAGCACUAAAAGGAAAAUCUUCUCAAACCUUAGAUCUUAAAAAAGUCACUGUUAAUUAUUUGAUAUUUAUAUUAAUUAUUUGAUAUUUAUAAAUUCAACAAAAAGUCCCAAUUCAACCCACCAAAGGACACAAACAUUUAAUGUUAGUGAUAGAGGCAGAUACUAUCUCACCAAUAUCCUAGCAGCUCUGUAGUGGAGCAAAGAAUGGCUUUCUCAGGACACAGUUUUAGAAGGACCAAAGCACUGCUGCUUAACAUAACUAAUGGUCGUGUAGCCAGUGUUGCCUUCUAGAAUACUUACUACAGGCUCUGAGCAGGUCACAUGAAACCAGAGAGUUCUGUGAGCAUUCACCUGGGUCUAAGCACAUGGGGGAUUCCAGCCGGAAGAGGACACUGAGCCACUGUGCCUGUGGAGGCACACCGAGCAGUUGACCGGUGUCACUUCAGGCAAGUUAGAAACAUUUCUCACAGCAAAGUGGUGAUGCUGACACGUUCCUUGGUACCUCACUGGGACCUUAGAUGAGACCCAUUCAGGAACCAGGGCUCUGCAGGCCAAAGGUGGUGCCAGCUUUUGGACUUUUUAUAUGAUGGAGUUUCAACCACUAUCAUUUGGGAUUUUCUAUUGUUACUCACGAGGUGGCAAACUGAAUCCUCACUGAUUCUCCAUUUAAACAAGAUGUUAGAAAACAUCCUUUACAAGACUUUUUUGGGGAAAAAGCAUAAAAGCUUCCUAUAAUUUUUAAAAGCAAUUUAUAUACAUAUUUACUUGAGAGCAAGUGAGCUUUCUCCCAUCCAUUGGUUCACUCCCCAAAUACCCACAAUGGCCAGGGUUGACUGGGCUGAAGCUGGCACCAGGAAUGCAGUCCAGGUCCCUCGUGGGUGGCAGGGACUCAAGUGCUCGAGCCAUCACCUGUUGCUUCCCAGGGUGCACGUUAGCAGGGAGCUGGAAUUGGGGAUGUGGGCGUCUCAACCCCAGGACUGUCCUUGCAUAAUUGUUACACAGUCCUAGGUUCCUUACAGUUGUUACUGUGAACUGGUACCUCAUAGUGCAGAAUCUGCACUUGACUUUGCCCUAGUUCCUGUUUGUGUGCUGGUUCCAGUUAAACACCUGAUUUAUUUAUUUGGUUGCUAUGUAACCUUCCCUUUUAUGAAUAUAUCUCAUCUAUCAUUUGGCCACAGGCAGAAAUUUAAAUUGUCUGAUAGCCUGCAUUUUAAUGAGCGCAACCAGAUAUAUCCCUGGGUGGGAGGUACACUCCUUCCACCAGAGAGAUGGCACGCUUUCCCCACCGCAGCCUCAGAGCUGUGUCUGGCCAACCUGAUGAAUUACAAAGCAGAUUCCGAAUAGUUACUGUAAUUUCCACCCAAUAACUAAUUUAAGGUUGAAAUCCUUUUCCUGUGUUUCCUGAGCAUUUAGGUUUUAACUUUGGUCAAUUUUCUAUUUGCUUUCUUUACCCAAAUUUUCUCUUUAUUUUGUAUGUUUUUUAUUGAACUAUAGUUCUCUACACUUUCUGGACAUAACCGUUUGCUGGUUAAAUUCACGGCAGAUGUCUUCUAGAUGGGCUCAGCCUCUGAGUCAUGUCAUCAACAUUGUACGGUCAGGUGUCACACAGUGAUGCCGUGGUCAGUGCUGUCGCAUGUAUGAUAGUUGCCCUGCAGAGGUGACGUCCCCCAGUGAUGUCUGUUUUAGCUUGCACAAGGAUACUCAAUGGUGUUUGCACGAAGGCAGACUCGGCCAACCACGGUAUGGGAUUUGUCCCCGUCGUCAACGGUGCGUGAUGACUCAACGUGCUUUCUAAAACAGCCAUGUUUUUGUUUAUGUUCAUGAAGUCAUUUUACAGUGGUGGUGGCUCCUGUGUGCUGGCUGUGAAUUCACCUGCAUUGGUGAACUACUUACACUGGCCUGGUAUUAGGUUAUUUUAAUUUUUUUUCUUCCAGUCAGGAAAAACAUAGUUUGCCAGUAAUGGCAAAUUGCGCUCGUACAUUUCCAGUUUUUAUGCCACUUGCCUUCUUUGUGGCUUAGUGUACUGCUGAGUUAUUUGGCAUCCUGAGGAAGGGAGAAAUAGUUUCACAAGUGCACCAGUGACAGUGUCCUUUCAUAAAGGGCGUUAAAGAUAAUGACCUAUUGUUUUCAUGGACGGGCUCUAGGAGAAUAUGUAAUUCUUUUACUCUUCAAAGAAAAUUUUUAUUUUUUAGAUUAAUGUGCUACUUUUAUGUUUUUGUGGAGUACCAGUGCACUCUCUCAACACGCCAUACAGCAUAGACUGAUCAACCUAGGUAAUUAACAAAAAAAAAAAGAUAAACGAGACUGCUAAAGAUUUAUUUAUGGGGCUGGCAUGUGGCAGAACGGGUUAGGCUUCUGCCUGCGAUGCCUGCAUCCUACAUGGGCACUGGUUCGAGGCCCAGCUGCUCUGCUCCUGAUCAGGCUCCCUGCCCAUGUGCCUGGGAAGGCAGCAGCAGAUGGCCUGAGUGCUUGGUUCCCUGCACCCACUGGGGAGACCUGGGGAAGGCUCCUGGCUUCAACCUGGCCAUUGUGGGAAUGAACCAGUGGAUUAAGGACUUGUCUUUCCUGCUCUGACUCUGCCUUGCAAAUAAAUAAAUAAAUCUUUUAAAAGAAAUCCUUUAAACAUCAAACUUUAAAAAAAAAAAAAAAGAAUUUACUUAAUUGCAAGGCAGAGUCAAAGGGAAUGAGAGAUCUUCCAUCUGCUGGUUUACUCCCGACAUGGCCACAACAGCCACAGCUGAGCCAGGUGCCUCCUCCGGGUGUCUCACGUGGGUACAGGAGCCCAUGUACUUGGCCGUCUUCUGCUGCUUUUCCUAGGUGCAUAGCAGGGAGCUGGAUCAGGGAACCGCAGCUGGGACACGGACCAGCGCCCACAUGGGAUGCUGGCAUUGUAGGUGGUGGCCUUACCAGCUCUGCCACAGAGCUGACCCCUUUAUCUUUUCUAAUAGAUGUUUGGAGCUCAGCAGCUCCAGCACCAGGGAAGUCUCUUAAAAAUAUGGCACUUCUGCCAAGAGACACCUGGAGGUUUUUGCUUUUUAAAAUAGAAAUGUACAUUAAAAACUUUUUUCCUGUUAAUACUGAUUUUAAAAAUAUGCUGUGGGGUCACUAUGUGAUCAUUACAAACAAAUGCAACCCUUAGCCAAGAAAAAUGGACUUUACUAUUUGCUGAUAUACUCUUAUAUUCUCUAAGUGGGUUUCUGAUCCAUUUGUGAGAGUGAUUGUAUAUUGGCAUAUGUCAUAUAGUUGGUACAGUUACGUUAAUUGUUCAAGAAGCUGAAGAGACUUUGGAAGACCGCCUGGGGCCUGCACUGUGGUGUAGUAGGCUAAGCCUCCACCUGUGGCGCGAGCAUCCCAUAUGGGGAUGCUCUCUUCCCAUCCAGCCCUCUGCUUAUGGCCUGGGAAAGCAGUGGAGGAUGGGCCAAGUCCUUGGAUCCCUGCCACUCAUGGGGGAGCCCUGAAGGGAGUUCCAGGUUCCUGGCUUCAGCCUGGCCCAACCCAGCUGGUUGUAAGCAUUGGAAAAGAUGGAAAACCUCUCUCUCACUCUGCCUUUGAAAUACAUAUCUAUUUUAAAGGCCUGCGCUUGUCACUGGGACACACAUGGAAGGAGGCGGCCUGAGCUGUCCAGCAUGUACCUUUGUAGACUCUUUUAAUGAAGAGGGGCCCAUCUCCAGACACGGACGCCUUUCCUCCAUCCACGCUCAGUCCCAGCCCUGCCGAGGUCUUCAGCACUUCAACGCACAGGGCCCCGUGGGCGGCUCCGCUCCUCCCUGUGCAGAGAGAAACAACACGGCUGCUCAUCAUGCCCCCUGGUGCCACAGGCUCCCCGCUGCCUGGAUGUCCCCGUAACAAUCGUUGCGCCCAGUGUCCAGGCAGGCUCCGCAGGGAGCUGCCCUGUGGCUGUGUUCCUGCAAACAUGUCGCUCCCCCUCUUCGCGGAGGAACGACACAGGACCCUGCGCUGUUCUUUCGUCUGCUCGGCCCUCCCCGGGUUUGCUGCUGGUUCUUCCCGGGUUGGCUGCCGUCCCUCCACCUCCGUGGAAGGGCGGUUCCCCCUAGCCACUUUCCCCACUUCCGCGGGGGAGCGGCACACCGCCGGCCGGCUCUCUCGGGGGCUGCACAGGUGUUCCUUCAGAUAGAUGUUCCCCUUAGAUGUUCCUCGUGCAUAUUGUCUCUCUCCUCCUUUAUGGUCCUCUUCCACCAAUCCCAACUCUGCUACCCACACGCCGAGUACGCUGCUCUCCUCCAAUCAGGAGCAGGAUCAGCUCCUGCAGUUUGUCAAGUUGGUGAGAGGCAGCUGCGUAGAAGUUUACUCCUCCCCAGCACCAUAUUGUGGGAGAGCAGAUGCAUAGAAUAAGUCUUAAUUCCAGUAACUUUGCCUAGUCUCAGUUGCUCCCCACACAAACACAGCCCCCGACUGCUCCUGGGAAGCCGCACACUGGGAGUGCCUGUCUCAGUGGGGACAGGAAUCACCCUUGGGAAUCGCAGGUGAUUGCUGUCACGCAUCACCGUCUGUCCCUGCAACACCAGAUCCCCAGCCUUAUGAGGGUAGCACUGCUUCUACAAGAAGCAUCCAACAACACUGGACUUAACAUUUCAAGUUUUCUGACCCAGAAGUUAGCCAGCGUUUUCCUUUAUGUUCAGCCAGAAUCUGCUCUGUGUGCCAGCUGCUCGCACCGUGCUGGCCGAGGAACGGGCGUCUUACCGGCUCCAGGCUCCAGGGACAGGGUCUUUUUGCAUAACGACCCCUUCCCGUUGGCCGUGGGGGGCUCGGUCCCUUUCUUGAUGACCACGAGGGCGUCUCUGUGCAGCUGUGCCUGGUGCAGGACCUUCACGACGUCCCCGUGGGCUAAGCCGGCCAGUGAGGUGCCGUUGACUGACAGAAGGAAAUCCCCUCGGCGCAUGGUCCCUUCCUGAGAAGCCGCCCCCUGAGAAAACACCCUGUGAACCUGGGACGAGACAGAAGGGGACAACAGGACUCCAGUCAACGCCAGGGAGUGACUGCAGGUCCACACUAAAGGAGCUUUUUGGUUUUUUGUUUAAAUUGAUUUCUUUUAAAAGGCAAUGAGAGAGAGAUCUAUCCGCCAGUUGAUUUCCCAGAUGGCCGGGGCUGGGCCAGGCCUAAGCCUGGAUCUCCCACGUGGGUGCAGGGAUCCAAGGACUUCGGCUGUAUUUCCAGGCAUGUGAGCUGGGAGGCUGGCGCUGUGGCAUAGUAAGUUCAGCAUCUGUAGUGCCAGCAACCUAUAUGAGUGCUGGUCAAGUCCCAGCUGCCCCACUUCUGAUCCAGCUCUCUGCUGUGGCCUGGGAAAGCAGUGGAAGAUGGCCCAAGUGCUUGGGAGACCCAGAAACUCCUGGCUUCUUGCUUUAGAUGGGCCCAGCUCUGGCCGCUGUGGCCAUUUCAGGGAGUGAAUCAGCAGGUGGAAGACCUCUCUCUCUGCCUCUCAAAUAAGUAAAUCUUAAAAACAAAAAAAC